CCUACGGGGGGCAGCAGUGGGGAAUAUUGCACAAUGGGGGAAACCCUGAUGCAGCGACGCCGCGUGAGUGAAGAAGUAUUUCGGAACGUAAAGCUCUAUCAUCAGGGAAGAUAAUGACGGUACCUGACUACUAUGCCCCGGCUAACUACGUGCCAGCAGCCGCGGUAAUACGUAGGGGGGAAGCGUUAUCCGGAUUUACUGGGUGUAAAGGGUGCGUAGGUGGCAGGGCAAGGCAGAUGUGAAAGCGCGGGGCUCAACCCAGGUACAGCAAUUGAAACUGUCCAGCUGGAGUGCAGGAGAGGUAAGCGGAAUUCCUAGUGUAGCGGUGAAAUGCGUAGAUAUUAGGAGGAACACCAGUGGCGAAGGCGGUUUACUGGACUGUAACUGACACUGAGGCACGAAAGCGUGGGGAGCAAACAGGAUUAGAUACCCCAGUAGUC
rnacentral:rRNA from 1 species